GCCACGCCCCUACCCCUUUCCCCUUCUCCCCCCUCGGAAGGGGGGCGUGGAGGGAACCGGGAUCAGCAGGGGCCAGCAUGAGCCAGAGGGAGGGAAGUCUGGAAGACCCCCAGGCUGACGAUUCAAUCUCACUCCUUCCCCACUUGGAGGCCAAGAUCCGUCAGACACACAGCCUUGCCCGCCUCCUCACCAAAUACGCAGAGCAGCUGCUCCAGGAAUAUGUGCAGCACCAGGGAGAUCCCUUCGGGCUGCCGAGCUUCUCGCCUCCGCGGCUGCCAG
ensembl:lincRNA uncharacterized LOC106144823